UACAGAGGUGCCGAGCGUUAGGCGGAAUCACUGGGCUUAAAGCGUGUGUAGGCGGAUUUUUAAGUAUCUUGUGAAAUCCCAUGGCUUAACCAUGGAACUGCUGGAUAUACUGGAUAUCUUGAGCCAACUAGGGGCUACCGGAACAAAUGGUGGAGCGGUGAAAUGCGUAGAUAUCAUUUGGAACGCCAAUGGUGAAAACAGGUAGCUGGGGUUGUGCUGACGCUGAGACACGAAAGCCAGGGGAGCGAACGGG
rnacentral:rRNA from 1 species